rnacentral:tRNA from 1 species
UCUCUGCUGGCUCAGAUGGUAAAGAAUCUGCCUGCAGUGCAGAAGAACCAGGGUUCGAUCCCUGGGUUGGGAA